AACGCGUAGGAAUCUGCCUGGUAGUGGGGGACAACAUGGGGAAACUCAUGCUAAUACCGCAUACGCCCUAUGGGGGAAAGCGGGGGACCUUCGGGCCUCGCGCUAUCAGAUGAGCCUGCGUAGGAUUAGCUUGUUGGUGAGGUAAAGGCUCACCAAGGCGACGAUCCUUAGCUGGUCUGAGAGGAUGAUCAGCCACACUGGAACUGAGACACGGUCCAG
rnacentral:rRNA from 1 species